ensembl:lncRNA
CCUGUGAGGACGGCACCCAGACAGAGGAUCAGAAGCCCCAACUCCAUCACACGCUCCUAAUCAUCUCCUUUGGCCAACAUUUUAGCAGCACGCAUACUUGAGCCGUUGCAAGGAAACAUCAGAGAGCCCCGACUAUCCAUCAUCUGUAGAACACUUAAUGUAAGAAACAACAACGGCAUUAAGAGAACAUCACGGCAGCGACAAAGCCAAGCCAAGAAGAGAAUCCUGCUGAAGAGCAAAGCUGGUACCUAUACAAGAUUGACUCCUUACCUGAAGAACUUGCUGGCCAGUAGCCACACGGCAAAGGUGUGUCAGAAAUUUCCUCUGGGAACCUGAAUGGCUGGG